UGAGUCACCGGCUGCAGGCGCGCGACCCCCGGCCUUGGCCCGCGCCACCAAGCUGCAGUUCCUGGAGCGCUCAGAGCUGCACCGUGGCGCGGGGUUCAAGGUGUUUUCGGAGAGUCCUUGGGAAGGGGCGGCCGGGGAGAAGCGGAGGCUGAGUUUACACCGGAAUCUUCCGAAGCCUAGGAUUCCGAGCCGCCAAAGUGCCCUCCCCAAAGAGGAACUACAAGGUGGUGCACUUGACAUCCGGAGAGAAAGAAGACAAGACAGCCCUGCCUGGCCGCCAAUGCGGGGAGAACGGGAUACUGCCAAUCCACGGCUCUCACCGGCGCGAGGCUCUUAGCUUUCACGGUGCUUCCCUCCACCCCGCCUCAUUGUGCAGGGUCACUCUCGUGCCUCGUCACCAUUUCCUGUGAAAGAAGGGAGGCCAAAGAGGUGAGUCAAUGAUUCUGCCUAGGGAACAAGCCUAAUUAGUGGGCAGAGCUGUUUCCCAGCCAUCUGACACUUUUUGAUGAAGUGUAAAAUACAGUGGUGAGAGACAAGGACAAGAGCUGGAGAGUCAGCUCAACAGCCUGGAGGUGGCGAGAAUCAGAUGUGAACUACCCUCACUCCAAACCUCCAAACUGAAGGCAGUGUGGACUGGAUCAGCAGUAGGACACCAGACAGCACUUGGCACUGGGCAGCUGGUGUGACAUAAGGAAGUAAGGAUCACGGAGGGAGAAAUCCUUUAGUGCAACAUGGUCUUUGGAGGAGAUUUCUCAGAGGAGAUGGACACAUCUGAAUAAAUCCUUAGGAGACUGGGAAAAGGAGGAAAGAAGAGGUAUGACUAGCUGUCCCAGCAAAGGGUCCAAAGGCGGAAGUAGUUGGCUUGCUAAGGGAGAGCGAUGGAUGCUGGGAAGGAUUUGGUGGGAGUUGAGGUUGGCCAGAUUAGGUGAGUCUGAACUCAGGCAGUCUUUGGAUGCCAAGGAUGGAAUUGGCAGGCAGCUGGCUCCUUGCUGAUGCUGCCGGAUGUUGUGGCUCUUCUGAAGACCCAAGUAGGACCAGGCCUGCAAAUAAAGCCAGCUGGGGGAAUCAGGGAAACAGUGGUCUCUGGGCCAUGUCCCUAUGCAACAACACCAUGAGCCCCACCCUGUGGCAUGGAAGUGAAAUAGGGUGGUGUUUUUCUGUGUGUAACAGAUGUGCAACUGAUGCGAAAACCCAAAGGUGGUGUUUUUCCAGAAAACUCAGGGUUAUCGUCACAACUAUAAUACCUUGACUAAGAAGACUAAUCACGAGGACACUUAGACAAGUCCAAUCAGGAAUGUGACCCUAUAAAGAAAUGUAACAAAGAAGAUCUCAGAAAGGGGCUACAAAAGUCCCGGAGAGUCUGGGGCACAAGAUGUGUAGCAGUCACAGACAACAGGGGCAAGGUGCAGAGCUGCCACUGGCCCUGGCGCAGCAGGCUGGCCUUGCUCUCUGAAAUCUUUUUAUUUAUUUAUUUAUUUUUUCUUUUUCCUUUUUAUCGGUACCGGGGAUCGAACUCACGACUGCCUGCUUGCAAGGCAGGCACUUAUGCCGCUGAGCUAAAUCCCUAGCCCCCAAUCUUUUUAAUUAGACCAUCUGGGGGCUAGAAUCGGUUGGCAUAGAUGGGGAAAACCACUGUCAAGCCAAUGUGGUUUCCACAGGAAUCACGGAGCAUAUGCGGGAGGUGAAGGAAGACCUUGUUCCUCAGGAAUCAGGCUCCACAGGCAUCUUCAGUCAACUAACAUAUAAGGAAACUGCCCUCCUGGUGGUCCCACUUUCACAGUGCUCUCAGGAGGUGAAGGCUCUACUGCCAUCAGCUGCUGCCCUGGGUCCAGCAUGGUUUAUGAGUGUCUGGUUGCCUUUGCUCUUGACAGAACCAGGUAAAAGAAUGUAGAAUCCAAAGUCAUCCCCUCCACUCCUGGGAGGAGGGUCCACACUCACCCCUACGUAUAGGCGAUGAUGCUGACAGCAAGUGGAGAAAUUUCUGGUGGCCACAGCAAGGAAGGCCCAGUGAGGAGAGAGAGGGAGGGUUUCUGCAAGUCUCACCACUUAUUUCCCAGGACUCAGGACCAACUGUCAUUCCUGACACUUCUGACCCCAAGAGAGGAUUGCCCCUGCCCAGGGCUUCCCUGGGGUGGGAGGAAGGGGCAGGAAGUUACCAUGCUCACGUGACAGAACUUUGAUAUAGAGGUUGGCUGAUUUGCCUCAAGCCACAGACACUGUAGCAGGGCUAAGCAUUGACAGCUGCUUACUUCCACUGUGGCCUAUGACCUCCUUCCAGAUUCAGAUCCUAAAUGGGUGCAGAAGGAGCCUGCUGCCCCUCCCUGAGAUAGCUUUUGGUGAUCAGGGAUGACACUGAGUGCUGUUUCCUCUCUGGGCCUUCAGAGUAUGUCCCAGCAGCACCACAGAAUUGAAGCCACCCCUAAGAGGCUUGCUGAUUCCUAAUGUUCACCAAACUUUGAAAACAAGGGUAAUCGCGAUGGUCACAGUUUACUCAGGACCCACCAGGUGCCUGCCACUGUGCCAGCAUUCUACAUGUAGUCUCCAGAGCUUCCACAGCAGAGCUGAGUAAGGAUUACCAACCCCAUCUGCAGAUCAGGACACAGGGCCUCCAGGGGCCUGUUCAACUUGCUUGGAGUAAUAUAUAGCUCAGGGUGGACAUACAAAGAGAUGCCUUUCAGGGGUCCGUCUCCAACUGAGCCAUUUCAGAUUUCUACUUCAUUGGAUGUCUUCCUGUUUGACGUUUCUUCCAAGCACAGGUCCUUUUUCUUUUUCUUUUUUUUUGAAGGAGGGCAAUAAUGGGCAUGGAACCCAGGGUCGCUGGGACUCUAGGCAAGUGCUGUACCCUGGAACUAUAUUCCAGUCCUCACCCUUCUCCUUGAAAGCUGUCAAAGACAGUAAAGUACUCCAGAUAAGCUGGGUCCCUCUGCAUUUUGCGUGGGGAUGGGGAGAGUGGCUAAUAGGGAAGAGAGGGCUCAGUUCAGUGGGUGACCUUGUCUCAAGCUGUGUUUGAAAGCCGGGUUAUUUAGUAGAAUGGCUUGGGCAAAUUCUUCCCCUCAGUUUCUUCAACUGUAACAUGGGAGUAGCAUUGCUGAGAAUGACUAGAUGAAUAAGGCAAGUAAAAUCCAGGGCUUGGUGACCUCCUGUCUGGUGAGCCCACUUAUAGGCAUGCUGCUGGUGCUGCUGGUGCUGGGACUCCUAAGGGGCCUGUCCAGGGCACAUGCGGGGGAUUGAGGCCAAGCAUGGAUCCCAGGAAGACCUCUCUUAGUACACCCACAAGCCAGUAAGGACAGACUGUCCUGUGCUAUAGCCAGGUGGCCGCCGCCUCCAGAGUUCAUGUGGAGCAGGCUGGAAGCAAGGCAGAGGAAGGCACAGAGCAAGCCCCAGCCCGUCUCUACCCAUUACCCCCGAGACCCUGGGCCAGCACAGAAGCCUCCGGCUGUGUCUACAGCUGCAGGAGAGGCCCAGAAGGCAGCUGAGGGGAGCUGGUUUGAACCUUCUCUCCCUGCACUGCCCGCAUCUGCUCCAGGCAGGAAAGAAGCCUGGGAUGGUAAACAGAACAUACGUUACCAGGCAACACUUACCAUGAAGACAGAGGUUUGGAAUUGAGCAACCCUGUGAGGACCUCCAUCAUCCCCACUGCACAGAUAAGGAGACUGAUGCCUGCAAAGGUCACCAGCCAUCCUGUGGAGCAUAUGCCACCUACUGCCACCUGACUGCAUGAAUAUAGCAGCUGUCUCUAAGGAAAUCAUCUGUACAUUGAGCUUCUGUGAUCCACUACAAACGAAGGGAAGAACCUGGCUUUUAGAAAUUUCCAGACUCUUAUUACUCUUCCCUUUUUUAUUUGCCUAACAACUGUGACUUCUCACUUACUUACUGGAGCAACUCACUCCAGUUUCUAUCCCUGGAGUGUAAACUCCAAGUGUGUAGGGAUUUUUGGUUUUUUGUUUUGCUUUGUUCUGGGUAUGGGCUUCGCCCAGGGCUUCACUCACGCUAGGCAAGGGCUGCCCCACUGAGCUGCAGACCCGCGCCUCAAAGGUGGUUCUACAUCCUGUUCAUCACAGUUUCCCCAGUGCUUAGGCAGUGCUCAUAAUGACGGCAUACAAUAAUACUCAUUAAAUGUUUGUUGAUGCAAGGAAGAAGGGAAGGAGGGGAAAAGGCAGGGUAGCUCUGUGCAGCAUACACUUCUCUCUUGACAAAAGGGUGCAGAACUAUGGACUACAAAGAUGGGCAACUCAUCUACAGUCAGGGUGGGCCAGGGCAGUGACUCCCCUAACUUCUUCCCAGACCCCUUCCCUAAGCCGUCGGGCUACGCCAAACCCUGCUGCCCCAAGAGAAGGUGACAAAGUCUUCUGAGGUGCCAGCAGAAGGCAGAGACAGAAUGGCCCUGAUUCUGGUGGACAACUGCAGGAACUAUGAAUGUCAUUGCUGAUGGUGAAAUACCCAGCUGUCGCACUUGGGAGUAAGGGGCCUGCAGAGGCUGUAGGCUAAUUAGAAAUGGGUCGGAUGUUCUUUAUUAACAGCAAGGCACUCAUAUAAAAGAGAAACGCAUAAAUAAAGCCAACUGGUCAGCAGCACUGGUCCCAGAAGCAGAGUCCUAAAGCCCCUGACCUUGCCGUCUCUGCCACCUUCUGCUUUGCUUCUUCUUCUUCUCCACAGCCUCUGCAGAGCUGAGUGACAAAGGUCCUCAGACCAGAUGGCCCACCGAACACCAAGCCAGUGCCGACCAUAUGUCUGUCUCACCACCUUGAAUGCAAGUUCCUCUGAGCAGGGGCCAGCAGUGCCUUUUGUACAGAGUUUCUAACACCAGUAUCUUGGCAGUACCCACUAAAUAUCUGUGCAGAGUAGGUGACUGACUGAAUGAAUCCUAGAGUGGCACACUGUAGCUACCUACCAUUCUGUCCCAUAAAAACCCCAAGUUGCCCUCUCAGACAGGGUAACCAGUGCCUGUUAACCUCCUGGGGUGUGCUUCCCAGUCCUUUUCUUUCCUUCCUGAACAACUACCAUGCCAGGUACUUCUAGGAACUGAGGACACAAAAAUGAACAAAGUCUGGCUCUAGCCUCUCAAGGGUCCAGUAAUUGAGACUUUGAGUAGAUACAAAAAUACUUACAGUAUGAUAUAAUAGCCUCUAUAGAAGGGGGCAUUCUUCACAAAUCAGAAGUCACUUGAGAUCUUAAAAGAGUAAGUGGGUGGGCAAGACCUGGAAAGGAAUUCUGGGAAGAGGAGCAAGCCAAAGUUGCAAAGAUGUAUGAGUAUCCCAUAACACAGGAAAUAGUGAGUGGCUUGAUGUAGGUGGGUAGGGAUGGGGAUGGUAACGAGGUUAGAGGGGAGGGCACAGACCAGUUGACAGAUGUCUUCUAGGCUUCUGUACAAAAUUUGUACUUAAGAACGCUUAAAAGAAAUGUCCAGAAUUUUUUUUUUAUUGGUACCAGGGAUCAAACUCAAGACUGCCUGCUUGCAAGGCAGGUGCUUAUGCCGCUGAGCUAAAUCCCCAGCCCGAAAUGUCCAAAUUUUAAAAUAGAGGAUGACACGAUUGGUUAUAAAUUUCAUGGAGAAGGUGGAAGACCAGUGAGGGGGGAUCAUUAUAACAUUGCAAGCAGCCAAGCAAACAGUGCUGGAUUUGGGCAGUAACAAGCUGGAAAGGAAGGUGGAUUCAAAGGAUUUGAUGAUCAGUUGGAGGUGAAGUGAGAGAAAGAAUUUGAGGAUAACAUGUAAAUGUCUUGCAUAGCAGAGAAAUGUUUUGGUAUAAGGGGAAAACAUGAACAAAAAUGGGGAGUCAGGAGGGACAGAUUUGAAAGGCAUGUUCAGCUGUACUUGAGUCUCUGUGGCUGCUCCAGGAAAGCACCUAUAAAUGCAGGUUGAGCUCAGGAGGAGGAAUGGAUGGGCCAGUCAGUCAGAGAUGAAAACCUAGGUGUAUACUUGAGGCAAACAGGUUGCUGGGUGGCUACUCAUGAGCCCACACUAAGGUGGGGGAAGCAUACCUCAGAAACUGGGCUUCUGCAUCUUUUAUGUGAAGAUGGAGAUACAGACAGGUGCCAUUUUUUCCUGCUUCUGUGAGAUGGCCUGAUUCGAGGCCCUAGUCCAGGCCCUCAGGAGCACUCAUUUCUCUUUCCAAGGACCUUACCGCCUGGGUCACAUCAGGAUGAAUCCCCAGACCUUGGGUUUGCACACACUUUACGAGGCCAGGCAAUAAGGCCAAGAGACUCUGAGUUGAAGAAACUGUUGUCUUAGCCCUGCGUUUCUUUAAUCUACAACUGACACUUCCAUUUGCCUUGUGAAACUGGGAGGUGGAAAUUAAGGGAAUUUUCCCAGGGCUGGUAUAUAUUUUAAAGCUCUCAGUCAGGCUAAAAGCAUCUAUCGAUAAUUUUGAGUGUAAUCUCUACUCCCUUACAAGUCAAAAUAAUUGAACAGGCAGAAAAAACUGUUAACGCAGGAGGUGUAUAAUGCCAGAUUCCCACUGCCUGGAAAUUUACCAUUUCAAAGCUAUUGAGGGUUUUACAGCCAGCCUUUACAGUCCCUCAUGUCCCCUCUCUCCGAAGCCACCCUCUGAAGUCAUCAAAAAGCCCAUCAAUCUGGCUUGGACACUGAAACUGUUCACAGUGUCUGGAGCUGCUGCCAACACAGAACGAAUUUUUAAAAAGCAUCUUGCCAUUUUAUCAGCGCAUAAAUCUUGAGUUUCCUCCUGGGAGAUGGUGUAAGCAGCUAGGCUGGCAGUGCUCGUGGGGCCAGCAGCGGUGGAGCCCUGAGGUGUCACAGGCACCUUCUCCCCGUAUCCUCCCCUUUCCCUUGGAAUUCCUGCCCCAUACGCACGCAGGUUUCCUCAGUGUAGGUUAACACUUCUCCGUCCUGCCCAGAAAGGAGACACCAGCCUCUGCUUUCCGCAGCGAGGGUGGCUCCUAGGGUGCUAGGUCCUCCAGCAGGGAGCAGCACUGUGCUGCCGCUACUGACCUCAGCCUGGAGGCACCGGGAGAAAAGGGCCAGACUUUACAGCUGGGACCAACACCUCUACUUUGUGCCAGUGCCUGUGCAUGUGCAUAUAAAUACAUGUGUGCGUGUGUGUGUGUGUGUGUGUGUGUGUGUGUACACGCGUGCACGCGGAGGUACCGUGGGUUUUUUGUUUUGUUUUGCUUCUUGGUGGCCUUUUUGAGUCGGAGUUUCACUGUGUAGCUCAAACUGGCCUUGAACUCAUUUUGUAGCCCAAGCUGGCUUGGAACUCACAAAAAUCUUCCUGCCUCGGCUGGCCUCCUGAGUGCUGGGAUUACAAGCUUGACCACCACACCGGGCUGUGGAACUAUUCUCUAUUGGAAUCUAAUUUCAGCUUUUCCUGGAAGUACUGAACUCUUUGCUGGUGAUCAGGGAUGGCACUGUGCGCUGCUUCCUCGCUGGGCCUUAGGAGUGGAUCCCAGCAGCACCACAGCGAUGCUCCUGCCCAAGCCACCUCCUGUCUUGGAAUUACUGCUUUAGCAGCCACAAUGAGGGAAUUUCUCAAUCUAUAUAUCUAAUCAUUUGUUUUUGCUUCCAUCUCAGCAUCACGUCUCUGCAAAGAUCACUACCUAGAAUUAGAGCAUUUAUCAUGUUCUUGGAGAGCCAAGACUGAGAUGGGAACCUGGGUUUUAGUCACAGAUACAUCAUCACCCAGCUCGGUGACCUUGAGAAGUUACCUGCUGAGCCUCUUUCUCAUGUUUACAAUAGAAUUUGGUGGCCAGAUAUGGUGGCACAUAUCUAUAGUCCCAGCCCUCUGGAAAGCUGAGGAAAGGGAAUCACAAAUUCAAGCCUACCCUGGGCAACCUAGUGGUAAAGCAAGUCACUGUUCUCAGAACACCAAGAAAGGCUGGGUGUGUAGCUCAGUGUGGACACGCUGGGUCCAACCCCCAGUACAGCCACUUGGUCAAUAAAUGGACUUGUGUACAAAAGUUCUUAGAAGGUCCUUUCAGGGCUAGCACUUUAGGGUUCUAUUCACCUCUUUUAAUAUUUUAAACUCUUUCCUGCCCCAGCAAGUUAUUGACAAUAAACCGGGACACAGUUUAUUGCUACUUGAACCUCCUACACAUUAUAUACGCACACAUACAUCCAAACAAUUCAAAAUAUUCUUUGAUCAAGAACUUGAAAGCUUGUAAUUACCCCAGACUUUUAAAAAAGAGAAAGUGGAAGAAUGUACAAGAAAUUGGGACAUUCAGGGAUGGCUUUGAGGAGGGGCACUUAAGAACUGGAGAGAAAGCGGCUUUGUUGUACAUCCUUUGUAUUUUGGGGGUUCUUUCUUCCACUUACUUACAAAACAGUUACUGGCAAAACAGUUUAAGCAAGAAAAAACAACUUCUCCUUCUUCCACGUCUCACAUCUAUGCAGCUCAGUACUCGGGCCAGAGGAGACAGACUGAGCUGGGAUCACUAGCUGGGAGCUGGGAGCGGGCUCUGCAGGUGAGUUCACCAACAGCCUGUGCCUGCUGCCCCCCGGCCACUGCUGGCGCCCCAGCACUGUGCUGGGCCAUCGAGCUGCAGAUGGCUGCCACUCAGGCGGACACUCCUCCUACUCCAGCUGCCAGGUGGGUGAAGAAGCCUAAAAGUCCAGCCAAGGGCAAAAGGUACCCAGUCAUGAACUAAAGCCCUACCCUUUCUAUUCCCUUUUAAAGGCAGACUGCCCCUUUUUGUGUUUUCUGCUAAUAGGAAAAGGAUAGAAAAGAAAAAAGGACAAGCCUGUUGUGGUGGUGCAUGCUUAUAAUCCCAGUCCUCGGGAGGCUGACGCAAGGUUGCUAGGAAUGUGAGGCCAACCUGUGCUACACAGCAAAACCCUGUCUCAAUAAUAAUAAUAAUAAUAGGAAGGAGUGACAAAUGAAAGUCCUGGAGGAGCCCUUUUCUUCAAGUCUCAGCCCUAUACUGUUUGCUUCUGGGCUGUAGCAUCUCUGGCCAGGUCCCACGCCCCUGGUUGCCUGCCACCCUGUGCCAGCCCCACAUCAGCUUGCCCUUGUGACACUGAGCCUCUGCCUGGCUUCCCCUUCUGCCUCCUUUUCUGGUCAUAACCUUGGGUAGGUGCUGGCCCAUCGCUUCUGCAUCCUCUACUUCUCUCCAGCCCUCUUCUGAUUUCUGACUCUCUCUCCUUAAACUUACCUCCCAUGUGGACACACCACAAACAGCUUUCUUCACUGAGGUCCAUUCCCUGUCUGGAACUGUCACCUGCACAACUUACGGCAGUCGAGGGUACGCUGACAGUACUGGAGCACCGACUUUGACCUCUUGCUGUUGGUCCCAAUGUCCAUCACUGCCAUACAUUAGCCAAGAGGGGCAGAGCUGUCCUUACUAGGCUCUGAGAAAGCGGGGGCAGGAGGACAAUCAGGAAGCCAUGGCAAAGCCAGACAAGCAGCAGCAGCAGAUGGUGAUGUGCACUUGGUGGAGUGGAUGUGAACAGACUGCAAGAGAUGAAAAGAUAUAGAGCAUGAUGAAAAACAGCUUCAGGGAAACAAAAGCAGAGAGGGAAAACCAAUAGAAGUAUAACAAAUACUAGCACCAGAAAGGCCUGAGGAGAAACCAUCCAAAGGGCAGCCAAGGACAGUUAACACAAGUGCAGUUACACUGGAGAGGUGGGCAGGAGAGGUUGGGGUGGCCGGCGAUCAAGAGGCUGGAGGCAGGAGCACAAUGCAAAGCUCUUGGGGAGGGCAGCUCACCUUCCAAGCUGCUGGACUGACUGGCUGCUGCAAGCAGCACUAUUUAAAACAUACCAGGAUCUCUGCCUCAUUCUGUUUCCCUGCCCAGAAAAGGCUGCAGCCAGAGGCGGAGGGAACAAGUCUAGGAGGUGGACCCCGCGCAGACCACAGGCUAAGGCUGGAUUCGGAAGGUCCCUGCCUGUCCAGAAUGACCUCUCUUCCUUCCACCCUCCCCCAAGCCACCAUGCCAUUGGCUACAAGCAGACUGAACACAGUCCCGAAGCCUCAGACUUCUUUCAUCCUGUCUUCAAGCUUGUCAGAAAGCAGAUGCUGCUCAAAUGUGACAGCUGCUCUAAGGAGAUGCUCAAAGGGAGCUUUCUGACCAGUGGGGAUAUUGCUAAUGAUGGCUGAGAGGGCUGGGCUGAUUAGAUUUCAGCAAGACAAAGGAGAGAACAUAAAAGGGCAGGAAGGAUAAAAUGGCCCUAGGGAAAUCAUAUGAGCCUUGAGUUGGAAAUCACCAAGGGCCUCACUCCUUUCCUUGGACAGUGGAUCUCUGGGAAGCUCAAACUGGAGACCUGACUCCUAGCCUUCUACCACGGAGGGAAUGAAAAAGGCUGGGAGCUGGAAGUGGCCAAGGAAAGCCACCCUGCAGACUGUGCUCCUUUCCCACUGACAGGCUUAGGGCCAGAGGGCUGCAAUGGUUUAUCCCUGGAUGUCCCCCAAAGCCUCACUGCUCAGAGGCGAGGCUGGUGGAAGGUGCUACAGCUGGCUUCCUGUUAGGAGGUGGGGUCUGGUCAGAAGAGGUGGGUCACUGGGGGUGGAACCUGGAAGAGUUCAGCUCCCUCCCUAGCUCUGCCCUGCACUCUCUGCUUCCUGUCUGCCAUGAGGUAAAUACCUUUCCUUUGCCCAGCCCCUUCCACCGCGCUGUUAACCACACAAGGACUAUCUAAAACGUUAACAAAAAUAAAUGUUCCCUUUAA